AAUUUAUCUUGAGACAAGCAAGAAAGGAAGCAGAAAAAGGCAUGAAAUGUUCCAGGUACCUGUCCCAGAAAAGAAGAAGAACAGCAUACCCCGGAGGACUUUGUAUUCAGAGAGGAGAUAAAACACCUGGCAAAGUCAUGGGACCUAGCUCUCUUCCCUUCUGCUCGUCCUGACUGCACAUCUCAUCUCAGCAUUAGACAUUUCUCAGGGCACAGAAUGGAACCAGAUUGUGCUCUUCUUCAGAGUAAGGACUUCCUUCACCAACACU
rnacentral:lncRNA from 1 species